UAAUUGAAUUUCAUUUGGAGUUUCUAACAGAAAAUAGAUUCCUAUAACUUUACAUUCACGCUUCACAAAUCAGGGGGUUCAAUUCACAUUUUUCAGAAAUAGUUUAUUUCCAUUCAUAUCACAGUUCAGGGUCGAUAUUUUUCAUAACAAAAAUUUAUAUUCACAACAGAAAUUCACACACGCGCAUAUCAAUCACGUAAUAGCAAAUUUUCUUCAAAUCUUUCCUCACUCUUAGCAUCAAGAAUUCACUCAAAUUCGCAAUAACUUCUCACGAAUCUCACACUCAAGAAUUGAAAUCAAAACUAACACAAAGGGAGAAGAAGGAGAAUCAAGCGGAAACUAAACGAAAAAGUUCAAUACCAGCACCAUGGAUUCGAGGUUGAUGGUGAAUAGACGUCGACGCGAAGAAAGGAUCACGCAUCGCAGAAGCUCUAUUGAAUAAUCACUUUUCCGUUUCCGCUUCAGCUUGCGCGAAGAACACAAAGACAGACUGGACUUGGUUGCACGUUCAAAUGCAUUGUCAAGCACAAACCUGGUUUGGGCCCAUGGCAGAUUGCUAGAGAUAUCGUGACCGAAUUUGUCAACUUAUGCAGGGGAAAAACUGUCGCGGCUAAGCAACACACCAAGAUGCAUUGGGGAUCUGGAAACCAAAUAAAGGUUCCGAGAUAUCCAGAGUUCAUUCAUCAAGUCAUAAACUAGGGAGUGAAAAAUAUGAACACCUCAGCUGGGGAAAAAUGAAUUAUAAAAGGGAUGUUUAUAGUGCAGUUUUUGAAGAAACACUUUCCUGAGGAUGUGCAUAGCAAGAAGGAGAUUGAAUUCCUUGAGUUAAAUCAAGGAAAUUCGAAGGUUGCAGAGCAUGUCGCAAAUUUUAAGGAGCUAGUGAAAUUUUGUCUGCAUUAUAAUAAUGUUGCUGCUGAGGGUUUGAAGUGCAUCUAGUUUGAGAGUGAUUUGCAUCCCGAGAUCAAAUAAGUUGUUGGUUACUAGGAGAUUCAUUGCUUUUUUGUACUUAUGAAUAAGUGUAGAAUCCACGAUGAUGACAGCAGAGCCCGAUUUGCUCUCUACAAGAAUAUUAGUGAAAAGAAAGGGAAGUAGAGUUACUGCUGUGAGUGGGAAAUAGCUAUUGGAGUUAUUUUCAUUAGUUAUCACAUUUAUAUUAGUCACUAUGCUCUAAUUCUGUAAAACUGGGUUGAACGAUGUUUUCUUUUAUUGUGUUUGUUGUUGACUUACUUAUUUCGUUGAAGUUUAAAAACUAC